UCCCGUGCGCUCAGACCUGAAGCUUUCCAUGUUGUCACAGCUGAACGGGAUCCAUCGCCGGUGAUCGUUCACACUUUUGAACAAUCGUAAAUCGAUUGGAAUUUAAAGUAGAUUUCUUUGCACUACAGUUCCAAAGUAGUGUGUGCGUGCGUUUCAUAACAACUACUGCGCCCCCUUUUGAAAUGGGUGUGAAGAUGCUGCAGUGCUUCCCAUUCUACAGACGCUGCAAGGAGAGGUGCAAAAGACAGUGCCCUCCAGAGACGGCAGUAGCAAGUGAAGAGCUGAAACCUCGACUGUUGUCCACUGCCUCCUGGGGCAGUGAAGGGGACAGUGGCAGUAGUCCAAGCUGCCCACAGGCCUAUUUUUCCCACAAGGCUCGGCUCUCUCUCCGACACCGGAUGGACAGCAACAUCAAUGCAGUGGAUGCCACAUACUAACUCUGUCCUGCAAGUGGUCUCUUAAGAAUUCUUGAAAGUGAACUUUGGCCUUUCAGCUACAAACCAGUUUACAUCCCUUGGUUGAGAGCCUUUGAGGGUAACUUUUGGAUGAGACACUGGGAAGAUGGAAAAAGCAGCAUGAAAGACAACUAUUCGAAUUUGUGCUCUAAAUUUCACCUCCAGUGGCACUGAUGAGUGUCAGCAUUACACAUUUUAACAAUGUCAAGAUACAGAAAGUGUAUAAAUGUCUCUAACAUAAUGGUACAGCUGAGUGUCAUUUGGUGAAAGGGGAAAUGACAAAACACUCUAGUGAGUGAUGUUUACAUGAUCAAUAAGUGCUUUUUGUGUAGCCUGUAGUAUUUGUAAUCUGCAGUAUCUUUUAUACAUGUAGCUGUAGUAUCUGUGAUUUUAAUUUUAAAUGAACUAGAUGCUUCUGGUUGGUUUAAUCUGAGGAGACACAGAUAUGCAACUGAUUAUUUUGAGCUAGAGAACAAUUAGUUCAACAAUCAGAAGUUCACUCUACGUAAGCCUCACUGGUCAUAAAUUUAGUGUAUGAGCAACUGAAUAUGUCUUUUUUCACAUAAAUGGAAAGGAGAAUUUCAAAGCUCUUUUAUCUUUCUAAGUGCCAUUGUUUUCCCUACAAGCUGUAAAAGAUACAUUAACAUCCAUAUAGCGUGCACGGCUAUAACUUAAAAUUUCAAGUUCAGUUUUAUUAUCUAGAAUUUCAAUGCCUUCUGAAAUAAAACAUAUUUUGCUCCAGAAAGGUAGUUUAAGCAAUGGCUUAAUGUACGAUUUUAUGGUCUCACCAACUAAUGUAUUAACAUACAGAUGGCCGAUUUCUAAAUCUUUAAGAGUUGUUCUUUCGAUUUGAUGUAUAAGAAAUUCAAGAAGAUGGAGAUGUUCAUCAUGAUCAACUCAUUGCUUCUGUUACUACAAAUGUCUGUAAAAAAUGUUUCACAUGUGCUAACAAAGUAUGUGCAUCUGGCUGUCUUCAAUUUGUCUGAGUGCAUGUAUAAACAUUUGAGGUUUCUAAAUGUUAUAUAUGGUUUCGUUUUACACCCUAAACUAGGAAAAGAACAGAGAAUUCACAAGACACUGUAACGUGGUCAUGAUUAAUAUUACUGUUAUGAAUGAUUCCUUAAGAUAUUUUUGUACGAGACAAUGUGAAAAUUUUCUAAAAUAAAAUACAAAUUUUAGCAAA